CGCAUCCAUUGCAAAAGCAUGCCCGAGCAAAGAGAGGUCAGCAGAGGGCAUAGUAGCGAUCCGCCGAAUCCAACCGCGACGCGAAGGCC
rfam:Rhodopirellula baltica SH 1 complete genome